rnacentral:lncRNA from 1 species
AAAAAAGAAAAUUUUCAUUUGUUUACUGUAAUUCAAUAAUAUUUAACAUUUCUUGUAAGUCUAGCAUCUUUGAAAUGUAGAAAAUAAUUGGCCUUUUGAAAGUUAUUGUUUAACUUUAAUUAAUAUUAUUUUUGGGAUGGGGAGCUCUCUGUAAUAUAUUGACUCAUAUUGCUAAUAAACAGAUCCAAUAUUAGUUUGAAAGAGGAAAAAGCAAUAGGUUUAUUAGAGGAAUAAGAUGCUAUUGCCUAAAGCAUACUUGAAGGGAACAUACUCUUUUGGCCAUGAUAAAUGCAUUACUUAUCAUUACCCACAUAUUUCAUCAAUCCUAAUGAAUCACAACUUGGGAAUCUCUUCAAAGUUGGCUUCCUGCCAACAUGGCCAUUAUAUUUUCUGGUAAUAGUCCCCAUUCAUGUUAUUUAGGAACAAAUGAUCUAUGAUGAAGGAGACAUAGCCAAUUACAGAACAUUUUGAGGAAAUUGAAGCUCAGGUCUGUGUUGAAAAUCCAAUUAUUUCAUUUUAAGUAAUUAAGGCAAUAAAAAGAUGUAAAUAUAAAGAUAUAGAAAGAGCAAGAAAAAGUAACUAAUGAUAGGGUUAGUUUGAGAUUUUUUAUUCAUACCAUGAUAUUUUCUAUUUUACUUUAUCUCUUUUUGUAUUUUCAGUAUUAAAGGGCAGCAUUUCAAAGAUAUCAAUGCCUUCUGUAGUUUAUCAGAGCAUUACAGUGGACUUCAGACAUUCUGAUAACUUGGAAGUUUUUAAAUCCUAUUUUUUUUUCCAAGAAUACCCAGAAAUGAGUCAGGCAGAUAACUGGAUUUGACAAAGAGAAAAGCAAAUGGAUCUUUGGAGGAAAGGAUACAUUGAUGAGAUGAUGAUUACAUUGAAGAAAGAAAUAAUCACUACAACCAAAAGAAGUCUGGAGAACUCAACAUGUUCAGGGGUAUUGCAUCUCUCCCAGCCCCCAUCAACAACUGUGAAUUGCAACCCUUGUGAAGAAAAAAGAAAACAUUCUUACCCUAAUAUGAGUGUUCGUGCCCCAGGAGACUAAAAAGAAAAAAAAAUUGACAGUAUUGGAUAUCAGGAUCCAGCAUAGAGAAAGACUAACAUAACUUCGCAACUAUGUGGCAGCUAGGAGAGAUAACCCCAUGUGGCUAAGAAACAUGAGUCCCUAACAACUACUUGUUUAUCAGCUCUGAUUUUAAUUUUCUUAGAAUGUGAUUUUGUAAAUACUAAAGGAGAAUUUGUUGAGCAUCAUAAUGCUUAAAUAAACUUAUUCAGGAAGAAAAUAGGAUUUCUUGA